AGUGAACGCUGGCGGUAGGCCUAACACAUGCAAGUCGAACGGCAGCACAGAGGAGCUUGCUCCUUGGGUGGCGAGUGGCGGACGGGUGAGGAAUACGUCGGAAUCUACUCUGUCGUGGGGGAUAACGUAGGGAAACUUACGCUAAUACCGCAUACGACCUACGGGUGAAAGCAGGGGACCUUGGGGCCUUGCGCGAUUGAAUGAGACGAUGUCGGAUUAGCUAGUUGGCGGGGUAAAGGCCCACCAAGGCGACGAUCCGUAGCUGGUCUGAGAGGAUGAUCAGCCACACUGGAACUGAGACACGGUCCAGACUCCUACGGGAGGCAGCAGUGGGGAAUAUUGGACAAUGGGCGCAAGCCUGAUCCAGCCAUACCGCGUGGGUGAAGAAGGCCUUCGGGUUGUAAAGCCCUUUUGUUGGGAAAGAAAUCCAGCUGGCUAAUACCCGGUUGGGAUGACGGUACCCAAAGAAUAAGCACCGGCUAACUUCGUGCCAGCAGCCGCCGUAA
rnacentral:rRNA from 1 species